UAUAGCUCUAGCUUGACCGGUAGUUCAAUUUCCGUGAGAAUGGGCUUAUUUUUAUCGAUAUCGUGCCGAAACGCUAGCUUACAGUGUACAAACAAUAUCGAUUACUAUUUAUGCAAUGCGAGGAAAUAUGAUUCAGAUGUCAAGGAUACUGGUAUUGUUUAGUUAAGACGUUAAUGGAUGGAAGUUCAAAUGGAAGUCAGAGAAAUAAAAUGGAAAUUAUCUUUGGUGCAUUAAUUAGCUUUCAUCAGUGAGACAGCUUUAUAAGUAAUUUCAGAAGGCAUAAUUUGAGAUUCAUUGCUCACACAACAAGACGCUUCAGCAGUGGACGACGUCAGUAGACCUUUCCCACGAUUGUACUUGCGAAUUUUGCAAAUACUUUUCAUAUCAUAUUUCCUCUUAUUCUGCUUUUUCGUCAGCAGCUGGAAAAUAUGCUGAACAAUAUAUGAUUUAAGACGUUUACACAUACACAGGAGAAAGUAUUUGGAGUUUUCGGAAUGAGAUAAGUUUAGUAAAUGUUACAAAUUUCCGAAUUUGUGUCACUAUAUGGAGGCAUCACAAAAAAUGGCAAGCAUAAAACGCACGAAUUCUGUGAUUUCGUCUAUGUAUCAUCCAAUAGGUAAUUCGAAAAUCAAGACAGCCUUGUGCAUGUUUGCUGGAGGAGUCAUCUUAGUGUGCUUAGGAGUUGGUCUUAUAGUAACAACAAUCUCCGUGAGACAUCCCUCUGCGGCCAAUAGCCACGUGGAUGAAACUUCUGUCCUUAUUAGCGGGCCAACAUGCCUCGGCCUUGGCAUCAUCAUAUUAGUAAUGAGUGGUACGGAUAUGUGUCGCUAUCGAAAAGCCAGAAACAAUGUGGAAACAGAACUUAACAGAGUUAUCAGCUCCAUGAGCAAACCAAGGCCUAUAUCUUAUAAAAAUCAACAAACCCAGACUGCUAUCAGACCCAUAACUAACCCUAAAGUUUCUAUCGUUAUCAAUAAAACGUUAUGGCCAUCUUAAACCUGUAAAAAACAAAAGGAAAAAUUAGGAAAUGUAUUUACAGAAGCCAUUAUUAUUAUAUUUCCCUAACUGAGAAUAGCGUGUAGGUCUCCGUUAGUACACUUACAAAUCUUGAUCUGUAUUCAAGGCGGAGGGAGUUAAAUUCAGGAAAUUCCCCAAGAAUUGGUGACUGUAAGUUAGUCCUGCUAUCUGAAAUCGAUGAUUUGAAAACGGAUGAAACAUUAAUCAUAACUUCAAAAUUCAUGCAACGGAAAGCAAUAAACUCAUUGGAAGAAAAAUGUUAUAUAUACAUACAGUUGUACCUAGACAUACGAGUUUAAUUCGUUUUGUAACCUUGCUCGUAUGUCAAAUUGCUCGUAUCUCAAAGCAAUUUUCCCCAUUGAUAUUAAUUGAAAUGCCAUUAAUAAUCCGUUCCAGCUCCCAAAACACCACCUCAGUUGUUUUUGUUAAGUUUUUUCGAAUAAGAAAAUGUAUUUACAAGAUGAAAGAUUUAUUUAUAAAUAAUAAAUACAUAUUCUAUAAAAACAUAAUUAAAAGAAAAAGUGAAGCGCUUAACUUUCGUCACUGGUCUUCGCUUUUUUCGUCACGCUUUGCUCAUUUUCACCUGCAGAUCGUUAGAAAAAACUGUCCAAGGAGGUUUGUUUCUUCCUCCCUUUCAGGAUAUUGCGGAAAUGAGUUACGCAAGUUUCGUUGAACAACUCCGGUGCGCGACCAGUUGGGACUUUUUCGGGGGGAUUUUUAUUCACGAACUCAACAACUUUCUCCCACAUUCCCAAGAUCUCCUUUAUAUCUCUUGUAGGGAUAACCUCCUCCAUCUCUGGCUCCUCUUCAAAACUAAUUUUUCGUUGAACCACUGUAUGCUGCUGCGAAUGUAGAUCGUGUAACUGAGAAGGGAGAAACUGUUAGACGCUGCACAUGACAUCAACCUGCGCGCGCAUGUUGCGGUCGUGUGCAGCGGUGUAGUGUGAGAUUCCUCGUAUCUCAAAUCUUGCUCUCAUCUCACAGCAAAAUAUCGCUCGGUCGGCGGCUCGUAUCUCAAAACACUCGUAUAUCGAGGUACCACUGUAUAUACAUAAAGAAGCUUAAUAAGAGGCAAAAAUUAAAAGCAACUUUUUUAAACGCGUCCUAGUCCUAGUACGCGUCUGCUGUAGCUGCAAAAUUGAAGUAAAAUAAACUUAAAGCAUCUAAAUUUAAAAGUAAAUUGGAGUCAAAGCAAGGCAAUUCCUCAACAAUAUUAAUAAUUGCAUCCUUGUAAAGGGGUUAAACAAUAGAAAUAAACAAUUCAAAAUAAAAAUGAUCAUACUAGUACAAUGUCGAAAACUAAAAAUGGAAAAAGGGAACAUAUAUACAAGAUAAUAUAAAAAUAUAAAAAUUAUUCUUCCUUUACUGAA